rnacentral:rRNA from 1 species
UAUACGCCCUUUGGGGGAAAGAUUUAUCGGGGAAGGAUUAGCCCGCGUUGGAUUAGGUAGUUGGCGGGGUAAUGGCCUACCAAGCCGACGAUCCAUAGCUGGUUUGAGAGGAUGAUCAGCCACACUGGGACUGAGACACGGCCCAGACUCCUACGGGAGGCAGCAGUGGGGAAUCUUAGACAAUGGGGGCAACCCUGAUCUAGCCAUGCCGCGUGAGUGAUGAAGGCCUUAGGGUUGUAAAGCU